GAGUGAGGGAGGCUCGCACUAACCCUGGAGAGUCCCCCAGUCCCGGUGGGCUCCCCCAGUAAAUAAAUCCACGGGUAAAGAUCUUGGGCCUUCAGCACUGCCCGCUAGGCAGCACGGAUGGUGGCUUUAAACCCCUGAGAAGGCAAUUGAGGUGUUUUUAAAAUGGGUUUGUCCUGGAGGUUUGUGUGGAAAGGGAGGAGAAAUGAGGGUUCUCAGACUCCUGUGGAAAAGGAGCAUUACAAAAGUAUGAGUUGCAAGCACAGCUCAGUCUUUCAGCUUGGAGUGUAGUAAACACAUCUAAAGGGGCUUAAAUAAGAGAGAGGAUGACUUCUUGCCUAGGGAAAUAGUGAUAGGCCAAGGAGGAAGGGUUUUAAGCUAAAUGAGGAGAGAUUUAGAUUGGAUGUUGUAAUGAAUUUUUUUACAGUGAAGAUGCUGAGAUGCUGGAACAAGUUGCCCAGAGAACCGAUGGAUUCCCUGUCCCUGGAAGUGUUGAAGGCUAGAUUGGAUGAGACUUUGAGCAACCUGGUCUAGUGAAAGGUGACCCUGCCCAUGGCAGUCAGGCUGGAGAGCCUGGACGGUGUCUGGACCUGGUUCAUCAUUCUGUCAUCUCUGGGACUACCAGGGGGCCCUGUUCCCUGUGUGAUCUGUGUUCUGGGUUCAGAUGUGGGACACUGCUGUGGUCACUGCAAGGUGCUGCCUGUACUGGGUCAUCCCCACCUUGUGGUUUGCACUACCUCAGGGAGCAGUUGGCCCUUGCUGCUUCCUGACACGAUGUAAAUAAUUGGAUUCUAAUUCAUUGGAAUCGGUUGGGUGGUAGUUGAUAACAUGCAUUUAACCAAGACUGAACUAACUGAGCCUAGCUGUUUUACCUGUAAAAUUUGAUAAGAAAACUGGAAAGCGAAAAUAUAAGGGCUGAAAACAUAAUUAGUUUGGACUCCUGUAUGAUAAAUAACUUCUUAAUAAGUGUCAGGGAAAACAUCCUGAAGUUUCAUCCAUGUGAGUACCUCAUGCAGGUGUGGGCUAGGUGAGGCAAAUUGCAGGAGAGCAGUAUGCUUUCAAAGUUUUUUCUUUCACUGAAUGUUUCCUGGCUUCAGGGAUAGAAACCAUAAUGGCAGCUAGACAUAAUGAGUGGGAGCUCAGUGAAGUGGAGGGAUUUGUUUAGUCUUGUCUUGAACCUUAAUGGGAUGAAAUUAGCAGAAUUCCUUGAAAUAGAAACUCCCUGACAGUUUUGCUAAAUAACCCUCAAAAUUAGCAAAUACUUAACAAAGAGGAGGGUUGCUGCAUAGAAUGAAGCCGUGGAUGUGUUAGAUAAGGAAAAAAAGCCCAAAAGGGAACAAGAAACUCUUAUUCUACAACAUUGCUAAAAUUUCCUAAAGGGACCAAAAAAGCCAGCAUAGAUGUAAUGAAAGGGGUUAGCUUGAGCUGUUUUCUGAUGAAUUCUGAACCACGCAGUAGUUCUCUGACCAAGUAACACCAUCAGAGAAGAGAGUUGACAGAAUUUAUUGAAAAUCUAUCAAGAAAUGUGGAGCUUCACUGUCCCUGACUCUUAAUUGUAGUUUGUUUCUUCAGCACGAGCUGAAACAAGUAGGGUAAUAAAGAAUACAGUGUCUGUAUUCAUACUUGUCUCUGUACUUAUGGCAUAGUAUGAUGACUGUGUUGUGUAGAAGAUACUUUUGGAACUGAAACGAAUAAUCUGUGAUAAGUGUAUGGCCAAAAAUCUGAAAUUAAGCCCACAUAAACUGGAACUGCUUCAAAAAGUUGUGUUCCUUUGGUCUGUGGUCAAGGAAGAGGGAAUUCCUACUAGUGAUGACAACAUAUACUAUAUAGGGAUUACUAGUACUAUAAGCACUCCCAGAUGUGUGCAGUUUUACAGAUUUUAAAAAUAGCUGCUUUUGUGCAAGGAGAAAGAAAUCCAUUUGAAUGUGACUUGACACUGACAUGGUUAAAACCAUCUGUGUUGGCCUCCUUGGGUUUCAAAACGGAUUCUUGCAUUCAUGAGCUUGGAUGGUCUUGAAACAAACAAAAAGGCUAACAAGAUCAAUGAGUCAAACAGAAAAUCUGAGCUCUAUAAAAAUAGAAGUAAAUGCGCCACUGAGUAUUGGGUAAGUCUAAGGAGUAUAAGGAAUCUUUGUGACUGAUGUGACUGAGUCACUGUCUGCAUUUGGCUCCUUGGAAUCAGCAAUCCUCAGACCCCUGGCCAGCUGGAAAAUCUGCAGAGUAAUGAUGUCAUGGCAUCUGACAUGGAUGUCAGACAGAGAUGUGGCACUGCUGAAGUGUGGGCUGCAGUAGAAGGUGGGGAAAAGUUAAUCACUGGGUUUUUCUUGAAGUUGGAUAGAAGGUGCUGGUCUGCAGUAAGUGUACUCAUAUCUUCUUUGAAAGUCUGUAUGGUUGCAGGUUCUGUAGGCACAAAUGAGAUUUGAUCACUCUAAGUAACUGAUGAGUUUGGCUGCGGCUGCACAGAACCCAACACAAGUUAUAAAAUUCAAGUGAAGCUAUCUGUGAACCUGAAUUAAGGUGUAAGGGCCCAAGUGGAGCCAAGAUAUGUAAUACUAGGGUACCUGAGAAGGCUGUCUGAAAACUAGUAGGUUUGACAAUGAGUGGUGGUUAAGUAUUACAAUUUGCAUAAAAGAUAAAAAAAAGUGUAAAGUCUGAAAAAACAGAUACCAGAACACAUAUGUUUAAAAGUAAAAAGGAAGAUGCAAAUUGCAUGGAGAUUUCUUGAUAAAAUAAAAAAGCUUGCAUCUUACUAGAGUUUAAAUAAUUGUUUUAAGAACUAGGAAUUAUUAAUGAUUGAUUAGUAUGCUUAUUGGUGCAACUGAAAGGGGGUUUCCAAGGCUAUGUCAUGAUUCAAUAUCACCAGACUUCUGUCUGCCUCUUACAUAGGGAUACCAGUAUCUCAUAUGAAUUGUGAUUGAUUAAUGAUCUGAAAUGUGAUCUGAAAUGUGUUAUGUAUUUUUUAUCACACUGUUUAUUCCUUGGACCUAGUGUGUGUGAAUCACUCCAGAGGUGUUGAAAUUUGUUCCAAGGACCAGUUAUAGUUCUUAAAAAAUACAGUGCAUAAUCCUCUCAAUGCUUCUUUAAGCAGACACUGUAUAAUCAGUUGAUAUUCUCGUAGCCCAAGUAGUCUGUCUACAGGAUCAUUAAUUUAAAACCAAUAAUUAAAUAUAAAACCAAAAUGUCUAUUUUCAAAAAUGGCACACUGAGUUCUUUCAAAGUUGAAAGUGCCACUGGAACCAUUUUCUAAUGGCUGUUUAAUGGUUGUGUGAUUCCAGUUGGUUUAGAAAGGUUUAAGAAGAUCAUCAGGCCAAUAUCUAGGAGAGUAAGAAAUAGAGGUGGAUUUUAGGGAAGUAGAUCAGUAAACUCAAAUGUGUGGAAGAUACAUUUUUUUAGGAAACUGGUCUGAGAGAUAAGAGAGCCAAAGGGAGGCAGAUAUUCCUUGAAUACAUGAGUAGUAAGGACAUACAUAAUUUUCCAUUCUGCAUGAAAAAUAAGAAAUAUAUUAAGAUAGCAGCUUUUAAAAAUUGUUCUUUACGUCAGGUGAGAGAAGGACAGAAAGGAAAAUAAAAGAUCAGGUUAUUCUGAGAAGCAUAGCAAAACUAGGAAAAUAAUGGCACAAAAAAGAAACAAAUUGGAUGGGUAACAGGAAAUCAUCAUCUGUGUGCUCUAGCAUUAACAGAAAAAUCAAGGAAAUUGUCAUCUGUGAAGAGACAAAUUUGGUUAUUUUGAAGAAAUCACACCUAGGAGGCAGAUGUCAUUAAUGUGUUUUAAUUAAUCAAUCUUCACUAAAAUGACCAUCUGCAAGAGGUAGCUAUUUCAGUGCAGCCCAGUGAGAAAGAAGGGAGAAUCUCAGCCUUGAGUGAGGCAUGUGCACUUUGGAGACAGUUAGGAUUGAUAGAUUCUCCUGAAGUAGCUGAGCCUGGAGUACCUCCUCCCAGUGUGACUGCAGAAUUAUCUGUUGUAACCAACUGCCUCUGCAGCCAGACCUGGGAUAGGGUGGUUGCUCAUGGCCUUGUAGUGUUUGAGCUCUGUGUUGGCAACUGAAGUGAAAAUUGUAUUGGUAUUUGAAGUUAUUUUGUCUUCUGCUGUUCUGUCACUGGGGAGUGAAAUAGGUUCCUGUCCUACAAAGUUAUUCCAGUUUCCCACCUGUAAUUAGAUUCUGCACAGGUUUGGUCUUCUGCAUCUAGAGAUGUGCAGCUGCCACACUAAAAGGCUUUAGAGAGGUUUUGCUUAUAGUAGUUGCUAGUUUAAAGACAGUUACUGAAUUAUAGAUUUUGUUUGGGCUGUUUAAUUUGCAUUCUUCACAGCUGGGCAAAAUAUCAAUGUCUAAAAACUCAUUCCUGUACUAGAUUUAGAGCAAGUAAUAGAACAGUUCUAAUUCUAGCCUGAAACUGGUGGUCUGUUUAGUUAAAAACACAUCAAAUGUAGUAGUCAUUAAAGUGGUAUUUUUUUCUAGGCAAUGUUGCACUCUGUUGUUACAACCCACCCCUAAAGGCAGGUGUAACUGAGGUUCUUGUUAAUAGAUCCCUUGGUGUGGAUUAGAGUGAAAUGACACUGAAUGACCAGUGUUUAUAUUUCUAUAUACCUGUAUCUAUAUCUGCAUGUAGGGUUUACUUUAAAAAACUUUGCUUGCAAUGGAAAGGAGGUAUGUAGCCAAUUUGGUUAUUAUCUACAGUAAUAUAAGAAUAAAAGUACAAAGAUAUCACUUAAGAAGAUACAUGAGGAAAAGAAGAAGAAAGGAUAAGAUUAUGGAAAGAUAUCACCACUGGUGGAUCCAGCAAUGAGACUUGAUUGUUGCAAUUUAGAUGUGUGUUGGUCAAAAUGAUGGUCACAGUCUUGAUUCAUUGGGGGUGGGGGAAACCUCCCACCACAUAAAGUUCAGUGGAUUAAAAUAGAUUCCAUUCAGGUGGAGUUUAGGGGUGAGUUUAACACUCUGCUGCAACACUGUGGAUCAUGCACAGUCCUCAGCUGGAAGGCCCCAGAAACGAGUGUGGGGGCACUUUUGGGACCUUUGGUGGUUUGUGACACAUUGAAAGACAUGACAGCUGCCUCUGACAUCAGGGUAGUUGAGCCAGUCCUGCCCCAUCAGAAGGGAUGAACACCUUCAUGUGUGAAUGGAGGGGAGAGUUUACUCAUCUGAGUCAGCUGUGUAAGGGAGGACAUUGGCAAGAUAAAAAGCGCUAUCCCACCUAGCAGGACUUGCUUCUUAUCAGCCUUCUCCCUUAUCUGGCUCAAAACCCAACUUGUUGCUAAACAAAGGUUUUGGGGGUGCAACCCUGGUCUCAGCAAAGCAUCCUGCUGCUUUUGUAAAUGGCUGAUUGUUUGAAUCAUUAACAUUUCAGUCUCUCACAUCUAUGGAAAUUAUUUGGAUGGAUGAAAUCUCUGGCCAAACAGGUGGAAAAGGAAAGACAUGUCUACUGACAGAGAUGACAUUCACUUAGGAGCUCUAAAGAAACUUGGAGGUGAAACAGCUAAAACAUUACUACAUGAAGCAGGUUUGGGCAUAGAUAUGUGGAGUGCAGAUCUGAUCCUGCCAUUCAUGAUGAAGGAUCCAAAAUACUGCAGGGAUGAAAGAAUAUUGGUGUGUGGAAGACAAAAAAAGUGCACACAGUUUGAGAAGAGACAAGAAUUGUGGUGGAAUUGUGUCACUUUGCAAGAGCUUACAAGACCUCAAAACACAUGGAUUGAGCCUUGUCACAUAUGCCACAAUGAGGCCAAGAACAAGCAUUGAAACAGAAGACAGAUGUAGCAAAGGAAGAUGGAUACACUUUGGGGCAUAGGCUUGAAAACAAUAUUCUAAGGGAAUGUGGUAAAAACAACCCUAUGUGAAGAAAAGCCAUUUGAAUAUGUGAAAACUGUGUGAAAAUAUGUAAAGGGCUCAGCUUGAAAAGAUGUCAGUUUAAGUAAAAUAAUGGCAAACCCUUUUCAACAGGAGGGGGUAACAGCUGGAAGAAUAAGAACAUUUGAAGAAAUAUUUGAGGAAAGAGAAAGGAAGUUUUAACAUGCUCAAAAAGUUAAAUUCCCUCAAUUCUGUCAUGAUAUGUAUCCUGCAGCAGAGUGUGAUAACCGUCUUGUUCUGCAGAGUCUAGGGAAAAUAAUCCAUAGUGUGAGUGCAGUUGCUGUUCUCUGUAAGGGUGGAAAAAACCCUCACAUGAAAAAAUGUUUUUAAAAUUCAUAUAUCCUCAAUAACUGUUUAAGUAAAGAAAACUAUUUUCAGUGCUGCAGUUAGAGCAAUCUGGUAGGCAAUGCUUGAGCCCAGUGCUUUUUGUUGUUUGUUUGUGGUUUAUUUUGUUGUUUAAAUUUUUCUUGAUGCAGUGAUAGAUGUCUGGUAAGCGUCUUGGGAGAAAGAGGUGCUGUACAAACAUCUGUAGGUUUUCAGCAAUCUGUUUGGAAAACAUUGUUUCUUCAGAGUGCUACAUUAGUUAUCAUUGGCAUCCAAUGCAUUUCACAACCCGGAAUGAGAAAAAAUUAGUCCUGGAGUGAGCACUAAGGCUUGUAUACUGAACUUUGAUUUAGAACAAAACUUUAGAGACUUCUUGCUACAGGAAGGAGGCUUUCACUAGAGACAGAGCCCUAAGCUGAAGUGAAUGAAGGAAACUUACACACUGCCACGUCUAACAUCGCUUCUUGGAAGGGUCAAUCUUGCUUUAAAAAGACUUCAGAUAAACAGUGCUAUUAUUAUGCUAUUAGGACUUGGACCGUAAGAAUAUAUGUAUAAACAAUGCCCUAGAAAUGUAUUAACACUGCAGGCAAAAAAUGAAGCAGGAAAAUUACAUCUGGGUAGUGUAGGGGGAAAAAUAGCCAAUACAGUGAAAUGAACAGAGUUGCUAGCCUUGGCUGCCCAUCUGUUCUUUCACUCCUCUGAGAAAGCCCUCCCUGAACAUGCUGUCACUAAAAAGGUCACCAAAAAACCAAGUCCAUUUGGACUAGCCCUUGUUUAAUUUAAUAAUAGCUCCUAUUGGGAGAUUAGGCUGUUAAAUCCAGCAAAGUGUGCAUACAGCUAUUCCACCACAGGAUUGUGGAGAGAGUAAAGCCCCUCCUAGAGCUGAAGAGGAAUGCAGGGUCCAGUCAACAGUGUGUUUCAGCCACAAAGCUUGGUUUGCUGUCUGCUUUUUUGUUUAGCUCAGAAAACUGAAAAUAUGCAUGUCUGCAGAGUUAGAUUGUUGUAUUUGAACUGCAGGUGUAUCUUGGCAGAGCAAAAUGAAAACUUCAGCAUUUUGUUGUUCAGGAGAGACCCAUAAUUCAUAAAAAACAACACUGUGCUAUGAUGUUACAGAACUGAGUGAUUCAGCUAGUAUUGGAGAAACAGAUGCAGUUUUAAACACUAUGUUGGAAAACAAUUUCUUAUAUAUCAGCAUGUACUGCAAAGAAGUAGAUGUUUUCUUCUCUGCAUUCAGCAGGAGAUGAGUUAGUAGUCACUCAACCAGCCAUUUUGCUCAAGAAAAAUUUUAGAAAGUAGACAUAGUGGGUGGGGUGUCAUUGGGGUAGGAGGGGACCUAUGGGUUAGAAGCAAUUCUCUGCAACUAUUUUAGGGUGUUAUUUUCUCAAAUGGAGAUGGAACAGUGACUUACAACUGUGAUAGUAUCACAGGAAGUCUGAGAGAGUUAGGUAGUGAGUUAUUUAAUGUUUUAUUGGGGAGAGAAAAUAAAAGUAAAAUUCCUCAAACUGCCUUUGCAAGAGGUUUUUGAAAAUGGUUGUUGGGCAGUGUAGAAAUUCAUGUAAGCUACAGCAAAUUCAUUAGAUCUCAUACAUUAAAUAAAAUGUGCUUUUGCCAGGCUUCUUGGCUCUGAACACUACAGAAAGAUACAAAAUGCUUUUCUCUCAUUGUCUCAGUAGAUAUUUUAGAUUAAAAUAGCUUAAACAGGAAAAGCAUCAGAACAUCCCAGCAAAUUACUAAGAGUUUUGUGUUUCAGGCGUUCUGCAAAGAGCAGUUACUGAGUUCAGAUCUCCUCAGGAGGAGAGCUGUUAAGUAGCUUAGUACAUGCAAUGAGUCGGCUGCUUUAAAUCCAGGGCAAUACCUGUGGUAAAAAUAAAAUGUUGCUUGCCAGGGAAAAUGAAAUAUUUUGGUUUGUUCCAAAAUGGAAGUAGCUUUGCUUUCCCAUAUUGUUGAGGACAAAACAAACAUGUUCUUAUCUGCUACUGUCUAGAUGAGUUUCUUGUUUUUCUUGGUCAGGUUUAAUGUUCAUUCUCCAAGAAGAAAUCCAUUGUUCUCUCAGCCCUGCUCUUUCUCUCUUAGUGAUUAUCUGCUCCCCAGUCAUUUGCAGAAUGAAGAGCUGAACUUUAAUAUGUGCUCUGAGGCCCUACACACCAGAGGGGAAGUGACUGUGACCGCCUGCAUGCUGCUGAACUCAGUGCAGUGUAAAACAGUGUCCACUUCUAUAUAUAUGCUUUCUUGUAGGGGAUACAGGGUAGAGGGUAAAAGGAAUAACAUGGUACUUUCACUGAAAUGUAAUUAAACCAGCUAAAUUGGAAUAAGGAACAUAUAAAUUAAAAUAUUUUUAUUCAUGAGAAUUUUAA